rnacentral:rRNA from 1 species
CCUAAAUACUCCCUAGUGACCGAUAGUGAACCAGUACCGUGAGGGAAAGGUGAAAAGCACCCCGGGAGGGGAGUGAAAUAGAACCUGAAACCGUGCGCCUACAACAAGUUCGAGCCCGUUAAUGGGUGAGAGCGUGCCUUUUGUAGAAUGAACCGGCGAGUUACGUUAUGAUGCGAGGUUAAGUUGAAGAGACGGAGCCGUAGGGAAACCGAGUCUGAAUAGGGCGCCUUAGUAUCAUGACGUAGACCCGAAACCAUGUGACCUACCCAUGAGCAGGUUGAAGGUGCGGUAAGACGCACUGGAGGACCGAACCAGGGCACGUUGAAAAGUGCUUGGAUGACUUGUGGGUAGCGGAGAAAUUCCAAACGAACUUGGAGAUAGCUGGUUCUCUCCGAAAUAGCUUUAGGGCUAGCGUCGACAUUAGAGAUUCUUGGAGGUAGAGCACUGUUUGGGUGAGGGGUCCAUCCCUGAUUACCAAUCUCAGAUAAACUCCGAAUGCCAAUGAAUUAUGGUCGGCAGUCAGACUGCGAGUGCUAAGAUCCGUAGUCGAAAGGGAAACAGCCCAGACCACCAGCUAAGGUCCCAAAAUAAUUGUUAAGUGGAAAAGGAUGUGGGGUUGCACAGACAACUAGGAUGUUAGCUUAGAAGCAGCUAUUCAUUCAAAGAGUGCGUAAUAGCUCACUAGUCGAGUGACCCUGCGCCGAAAAUGUACCGGGGCUAAAACAAUUUACCGAAGCUGUGGAUACCUUUAUAGGUAUGGUAGGAGAGCGUUCUAUGUGUGAUGAAGGUAUACCGUGAGGAGUGCUGGAA